rnacentral:lncRNA from 1 species
CAUUCAUAUUUGCCCCUAUAAUUUGUUAUAGUUAUAGUAUGUUUAUUUUUUAAUAAAAAAUAAGUGAAACGAUAUUUUGUCAUUAUAAAUAUGUUCAUACAGAAAUUUUCUCUAAAAAAUUUUCAACAGUCAGCUUCUUCCUUUUUACCAUCACAAAUAAUAUAAAAGAAGUUCAAAUUAUCGCAUUCAUUAAUUAGGAUUAAGUAUUUUACCUAGAUUAACUAUAUUUUUCUAACGGAUCCUAAUAACAGAGAUAUAUUUAAAAACUUGAUGAUUUUUAUAGAGAUAAAUAUGAAAAAUUAAACUUUGUAUGGAUAUAUCUAGUAUGCCACAUGUAUACAGAAAUCUAUAUGCAAUUAAACUUCUUAAAAUUAUUAUUUUCAAGUAGCUUCAAUUUUUGCAGAAUAAUGAUUGCUUUAUAUUACUUUAACUAUACUCAUCAAACGAUA